rnacentral:lncRNA from 10 species
CCCAGUCUGGAGUGCAGUGGUGCGAUCUCUGCUCACUGCAACCUCCGGCUCCCGGGUUCAAGCGAUUCUCCUGCCUCAGCCUCCCAAGUAGCUGGGAUUACAGGCGCAUGCCACCACGCCCAGCUAAUUUUUUGUAUUUUUAGUAUAGAUGGGGUUUCACCAUAUUGGCCAGGAUGGUCUUGAUCUCCUGACCUCGUGAUCCGCCUGCCUCGGCCUCCCAAAGUGCUGGGAUUACAGACAUGAGCCACCAUGCACGGCCUGCAAAUUGCCGUUGACUAUCAGUGUUAAAGAGGCUGAUUCAUGAAUGAGAAAGAAAAGGAAUUUUUGAUAAUCCCAAAGAUCUAUUUGUGUGACUAAGAUAUUUCUACGUGAGAAGAACACAGCUCUCUGAGGCCUGAAAGGUAAACAAAAUCAACUCAAGAUUUUAAAUAAAAGAGUUUCCUGGUUUCAUGAAAAUAGUAAAUAAACCAGGUCUAAUAAAAUGGUAGUAUGGCAUAUUUGAGAUGGUAAUAUUUAGGGACCCUUUCCUAUAAUUAUGAGUUCCAGAACUUGGUGUCAAUUAAAGAGUCCUCUUAACUGAGU